CCCGCGCCCCGCGCGCCCCGCGCACCUCUCCACCUGCGACACGAAGCGUGUCUCGAAGGCUCCGCGCGUGCGCAGCUGCUCCGAGGCCUCCCCACGGAAGAGCAGGUUUUCGUCCACGAGCUUUAGCAGCACGAGCCGCACCAGCUCGCCCAUGUAUUUGCCGCCGAUGAUCUUCUCAUAACUGCGCGGAGGGCGGCGGGGUCAGGGCCUCGGCCGCCCCCAGGAGGCCCCCACACGCGGCCACAGGGAGGCCAGGAAAGGAGAAGGUGAACCCCAAGGGCAGCUUCUUGUGCUUCAUCUGAUGCUUGUCCAGGAAAUCGGAGAUGCACUCGGAGAUGUAGUCAAAGAGCUGGAAGACACAGCGCCAGCAGGCCAUCGGCCUCAGCGCCCCUCUCCCAAAUGCUGCAGCCCCUGGCACAGGGCAACACCAGGACAGGUCCCUCCCACUGGACGUCCAGCCACAAACUUUGGACAGAGGUUCAGCCGUGCUCAUGACUCUGAUUUCUGUGCUUUGCUGCCUCCAGGAGCCCGGCUGCCCCACCCCUGGCCCUGCCGAGGACCAGCCUCCAUCCUGCUGCGUGGGCCCGUCCACAAAACUGGGUAUUGUCGAGUGCUCUGCGGAUGGACCAAGGUCCCCACUGGUGCUGGGGCCCUGUGAGGUGCCCAUGCCAUCCCUGCCACCUUGAUUUACCCCUAUAGCAUGCAGAGGUGUGGUGAGGACGAGGCUGCCAUGGGACUCCUGCCUCGAAACCCUGGCCCUCAGGAUGGCUCUGCCUCUGCCCGCCUCCCCUGAGGGCUCAUCAUCCUUCUGUAGCCUCUCCAGUCCUCCCCACCAAUGGGUAGCAUUCCCGCCUGGGCAGACAUUACAACUGCAGCCACCCCACAAGGUGUCCCUGCUGUUGGAAGGCGAGGGGGUGACACAUAGGAAAGAGGCAGAGUGCUGUGUGCUGACUGCACCAGCUUGUUCCCUCAGCUGCCCUGUCACCCAUCUGAUGCCUCUGGGACACUGGGCAAGGAUGUGACCUGCAGGGGCCAUGCCUGGCACCAUCCACUUAGGCCUCUCAGCUACCUCCCUGGGCCCUCUGAGGCUGGCUGGCUCUCCUGUCUACAGGUGCCCCUGCCCCUGGGAGAAAGGUGGGCCCUCCUGCCAGGACUAGUGAGUGCCAUGAUCCUGGGCAGAGCUGAUCCUGCCCCACGGUCCCCGGGCCCCCAGCCCCCGGCCCGUGGGCCCAGCCCAGAUCCCCAGCCCCCAGCCCCCUAGCCCCAGCUGCUCACCAUCUCAGCAGUACCAGUCAUGGCAUCUUCAGGGAUGGAAUACAUCUCGUGCUUGGUUUUCACACUCCACUGCCCCUCCUCGCCCUCCCCCACCUUGACCAGCAUCACCCUGAAGUUGGUGCCGCCCAGGUCCAGGGAGAGGAAGUCCCCGACUUCUGCAGACACAGUGAGAAGUGCAUUAGCCUCGGGGUGCUGCCCAGCAGGACCCCAAGAUCAGGAAGAGGAGGAGAGGACGGAGUGGGGGGAUCAGAGGAGCUGGACAGGGGGCUGCUGACCCCAGGUACCAGGGGACCCCAGAGUCAACUGUGGAAGAGGUCAAAGGUGAACUGGGGAGCUCAGUGGGCAGCCGCUGCCUUGGACUGAAGCCACUGCAAGCCCAGGUUCCAAGGAAAGACCUAGUGAAACAGCGCAGGGUCAGGGUUGGGCUGAGCCUGAGAACAAAUUUCCUAUUGCAAGAUGCACAAAGCCAGUUUCCCCAAGGCGGUGAAGAUGCCAGGGCGGGGCCGGCACGGAGCUCGGGUGAGAACCAGCCCAUGGCUGCAAGGACCUAGGCUGGCCUUCCCUGCUGGGGCCCAGGGACGCGGUACCUGAGCCUUCUGGGGUGGAGCGCACGUAGGUGGGCAGCAUCUUCACGCUGGCCUCCUCGUGGGUCUCCAGCCGCAGGCCCCGCGCCAUCUCCCUCUGCAUCCGCCGCAUCACCUUCUUCAAGUCCGCCUCCUGCAUCUGGAAGUCCGCCAGGAUCUGCUCUGCCUGCACGGGGUGGGGGGAAGCUGGGUGGGCUGGGGGCCUGUGGCAGCCAAGUCAGGCCCUCCCUGCACACACCGGGAGUGUCCUUUGCCCUCUGGCCUGGGCCCAAGAUGACCCCUCAUCUCAAAUGACCAGUUAGGACCAGUUGAAAAGUUAGAGCAGCAGAGUUCCAAGAGCAGCCCCCAAAUGCAGUGGCCGAGGCAUGCUGGGGGGUGCAGGUGGCAGCUCCCCCUUUGUAGCUCAGGUGCAUAUGGGGAGGAGGGAGGCACUAAUUAGGAAAGUGGGUGAGACAAGGCUGUUGGGCAGUCAGUGGGCACCUGGCAUGAUGGUCACAAAGACCUGGCUAUUCUCCAUCUAAAUUAAUGCAGAGGGAAUGAAUGGGCCUGUGUGUACAAACGGAGCACGUUCCACACGGCAGCUCCCCCAGCCCAGGGUACAGCCUCUGACCAGGCUGAGCCAAGCACGGCUAACCCGUGCUCCGCCUUUUCUCCCACAGAUUUUAUUUAUUUAUUCGUGAGAGACACAGAGAGAGAGGCAGAGACACAGGCAGAGGGAGAAGCAGGCUCUAAGCAGGGUACCCGAUGUGGGACUCGAUCCUGGGUCUCCAGGAUCACACCCUGGGCUGAAGGCAGAUGCUCAACCACUGAGCCACCCAGGAAUCUCCAUCCUGUGCCCUUUUGCCAGUGAUCUGGUUUCGUACUGGGCAUGUGGCCCCAUCCCAUGCUUAUGCAUUGGCCCCAUCCUGGCCAAUGACAGGGAAAGGGAGGUCUGAUUUUAGCAGGACCUUCCUUUCCUUCCCUUCCUGGGAAGGUCAGUGUCCCUGUAACUGUGACACAGCUGUGUAGGAGUGUGAUGGCCGGCGCCACAGCAGCGGUCCUGUGACAAAGUGGAGACAAGGCUGAAGGGGGAAGCUGUUGGUGGACACCAAUGGCAGGAAGAGAGGCAGAGCAGCCCGGCCCCGACGCACUAGCCAAAUGCCAACGUCUGCCAAGCCGUUCUACAGCUCUGGGCGCCAGUGCGAGCACAGCCCUAGGAAGGCCCUCAUCCCAGCGGAGCAAUCCUCAUCCUGUUCUCAGAGGCCCACAGCGACAGUCUUCCACAACUUUCAAAUGUAAAAUGUGUCAGCAAGGACUGGAAGCAUUAACCCUGGCACGUUUCUGCCAACAAGCUGCACCCCAGGCUGAGCGCAGUGCACUCCCCUCUGUCAGUGUCAUCAGGGUGCUAGGAGGAGGCGCCAGCAGCCGCUUCUAGAAGAGCACAGGUGCGUGCAGGUGCAUGCGGCCUGCGUGCCUUGUGGCCAGCACCCAGGAGCUGUGUCUGAAGUCAUGAGAGGCUGCCAGGCACCUCCCUGAGACAGAACUGUCUAGAGGGACCUGCCGUAGGACAUGACAAGCUCUUAGCAGGACUGAUGCAGAUCCACGAAGGUCCAGCCUCAGCCCCCUUGUUGUGGCCUGGACUCGGGAGCGGCUCUGGGCCAGAGGCUUCACCCUCUGUGUCCAGGCCCACGUGGAUCCCUCCACUGAUGGUGGGUGAAACCCCUACUCUGCCGGCUUCCAGGCCAGAGAGACUCUUUGGUGGGACCCCAGAAAUCACAUGAGGUCAGACCACCUGGUCAAAGCAUAACCUGAAGUUGCUAGCAACAUUUAAUUUCAGCCUAGCAGUUUCUCUCCAAGAAUCCAUUCUAUGGAAAGGGUCUUGCAAGCAAAUGAGCACACGCGGUGCUGGGACGUCCGGGACUCAAGAAGACCCCACAUGCACCCCGGGGCCUUCCCGUCCCUGCUGGGACACCGCACGGCAGGAGUGGGAGGCUGAGAUGACAUUUGCUAGAACCUGAUUGUAUUCUGUAAAUACAGCUGCAUCUGGCUGUGGC